UUGGCUUGUUGCAAGUCAAACACUGAUGCGUGGGAAUAUGGCCACACAUAGCAUAGACAUCCCACACAAAGGGAUCUAAGUUUAUUCUAAGUCUUAAGUCCUGUGAUCAGUGAGUUACACACGGGUAACCAUUUAAACUGUGGAAUAACUACCAUAAACUGUAAAUUAAAAGGCCUGUAUUUAAAUAAUGACAGUCAAAAAUAGUAGUGGGACCAUGUACAAAAAGAAAACAUUGAAGAAUAACCUCUAGAACUCCCAGGAGUACUUUAGGAUAAUGAACAACGCUACAUCUAUCAUAGUAUUAACUUGAUAGCAGUAGAAUAGUUUGCAUGACCUGACUCUGUUGACUGGUGGACUUAGUAUGGCUGAUUAUACAUAAUGUAAAGUAAAUACUCAAGAACUUUGAAUCUGGAGGCUAUUAAUUCACUUGUGUAAUGCCUACUUGAUAACAAAAUGUCAUAUGUAAAAAAAGAAACAAACACAUACAUAAAAAAAACAAAAAACGGAAAGUUCUUUAGAAAAGCUAAGUACAACCUUACAACUUCCAUGGGAAUUAAGAGGGAAAGUAGCAGCCAGAUCCUGCUAAUCAAAUGCGUUUGAUUAGCUAGUGUGUGAAGAGUGAUCACCUCUAUAAAAACAUGAGCCUUGGCAGUUUGCUAGGCUGUAGCAUUCAGAUAUGUGUGCUAACACAAUGUCACAGUCUUCCCAGGAGUGGACGUCCCAGCAAAUUCCCAAAUUUCCCAAGGUCAGACCGUUCAAUGCUCAGAAAAAUUGAAAAAGGAAAAGAAAAACAAAACAGGAGCUACAUCUGAGACUCUAAAGGCCCCAGGUUACAUGUUAAAUGGUGAAGUUCAUAACAAUACAUUUAGAAAAAGACUGAACAAGGUUUGUUUAAAAAGGCUAAACAACAGUAACAGCUGGUUAAAAACUAGGGUUAUAAGCUAACUUGAAGCAAUUUUUUCAAACCUAGAUUGUCAUGGUCCUGGGUCCCCUGACCCAGCGUUUUUAGUUCCUUGUGAUGUUUGUAAUAUUGUACUUGUGUGAAUUAUUUUAUGGUUUCUAGUUUCGAUCCCUUGCCCUUCAUGUUUCUCUGUGUCCCCUCUGUUCUGUGUAAGUCUGUGUCUGCAUGUUUGAUUUCCCCCCUCUGUGUCUUUCGGUUCUUAGAGUCCUCUGCCUUAUGGUUUAUGUCUCUGUGUUUCUUAGUUCAAGUUCGCGUCUCUGUGUGAUCCUUCCUGUUUUACUUUGAAGUUCCGUGUCUUAUGUGAAUGUGUCCUGCUUUGCUUGUCUCGUCAGUCCUGAUUUCUCCCAGCUGUGCCCUCCUUCUGUGUCUCAUUCCCUCGUUGUCCCUCUGUGUAUUUAAGCCCCGUGUUUCUCUUUGUCAGUGUAGUAGUCUCCAUCAUAGCUGUGUGAUUUUUUUUUUUUUUUUUUUUUUUUUUUUUUUUUUUUUUUUUUUUUUUUUUUUUUUGCUCCUCCCCUGUGGCUCCUUGUGCUUUAGUUUUUCCAGUUUAGUUUAUUUUGUAUUGUUUUUCGUGUCCCACUCCACGCCAGCUGUGUUUUUUGAGUUUACCUUUUGUCUCUGUGAGUUUGCGUUUGGGUCCUACUUUUGCCUGCACACAGCCGUACUGUGACAUAGAUUUUUUGGGAUCAGAAUCUGACCAAUCAGAGCAUUGCAUUUGUAGCUCGUAGCUCAAAUCGCACACCAUUACUGAAUAUGCAAUGAUAUGAAAAUAGUAAAAGUAAAAUACAAUGAUACUAUUUUACCUCAGACCCAAGCUAGACGCUGUUCAGAAACACUGCUCUCUGAAAUUAUUCCUCUUCUUCCUCAGAUGUGGUUCCAACUCAAAUUGUCUCACUGAUGGCCUGAAAUAUGUUCGAAAGCUACAGCUUCAUCUCCCGGAUCCAACCAUCAAAUUCUCCCUGAUGCUGCCCAGUUACUUGAUGUUAACUUCAUUUUUCAUUUUUAGCUAACUGCAGCUAAAAUAGGCUAACCACAGCUAACAGUGACAAAAAAGCAGUGCUUACCAAAAAAAAAGUCCAGGAUAUCCUUAACAACUCACCUCAGUAUUGCUGUCAUUGGACAGAAGUGAGCUUCACUGACUCAUCGACAUAUAUCAAAUCCCUUUCAUAAAGUUUUACAGCCUCCUCCAGAGUAAACAGAUGUGGACCCUUCUGUGUCGGCACACUGACUGUUUGCUGAGGUAAUCAGCAGACUGACAGCCUAUACAAACUACGGAACAGCGGCCUGAGUUUUUUAAGAGACUUGGGCACAAAAUAUUUUAUUGACA
ensembl:lncRNA